rnacentral:lncRNA from 1 species
AAUAGAACUAUCAUCAUGCCUUCGGCCGUCGCCCUGUUACAUGAAUCAGAAGAGAAGAAUCAAAACACUGGAGCCAAUAUAUUAUGAACAGAACAUUCAAAAAAAGGACAAGUUCUUUAGAAAGAUAACACAAAUUCAGCUAAUACAAUGAUUUUUGUCCCCAGAUAGUUAAGACGAUAUACUCAUUCAUACAAGGAUGCUGCCAGUGCAUAACCGACCCACUCGCUGCAAUAGAAAAGAUGAAACUUGCAUAUUAUUCCAAGUCCCAUUUUCAACUUGAGUACACACAAAUAUGUAACCAGGAUUCAAUGAAAAUGAUGCUUAUAAUCUUAAUGAUGCACUAGGAUGACUAACGGAAAUAUAUGUGGGAGGUAUUCAGAAACAUGUUUAAUGGAAAUAUCCAGCUUGGAGAUAUUCAGAAGCAUGAUACUCCUAAUCAUGUACUUCUGCUGAAAAUAUUUAUGCUUUCAUGUUCAGAAUAUAUACUCUACACAGCUUUACUAAGAAAUAUUGUUAAAUCUUGACAAGUUAAAUCUUGUUCGGUCUUGUUAAAUACUCCAAGCAACUAAUCCUACUGCGACUGCAUCUUGAGUAUAGUUACUCCAAGCAACUCUCUCGGACGAGUACUAACUAGAAAGUGCACCAUGGGGACGGGGAGGGUUGGAUGGAAAUCUCACCAGGAUGAGGUCGAAGAUGAACUAGGAGGUACCGAAGAGGAACACGAACAGGGACAGCAGGAACAGCAUGAACUCCAGCCCUCUUCGACCAACCUC